AAUAAAUACAAAUGAAUUUUAUUAUUUAGAGUUAAAAUUUAUUUUUUUUUUUAAUAUAUAAUUAAAUUUAUUAGGUUAAAUUUUAUAUUUUAAAAAUUAUUAAAUACCAGGUUAUUUUAAGCUUAAAAAUUUUAUUAUUAAACUAGGAUUAGAUACCCUAUUAUAAAAAAUGUAAGUACAGAAAAAUAGAGUAGUAAUAGUUAUAUUCUUAAAACUUAAUAAAUUUGGCGGUAUUUUAAUCUAGUCAGAGGAACUUGUUUUAUAAUUGAUAAUCCUCGUUAAAUCUUACUUAAUUUAAUUAAUUUGUAUACCAUCGUCAUAAGAAUCUCUUAAAAAAGAAAAAAUUUUCUUAAUAAUUAAUUAAUUUAUAUGUCAGAUCAAGGUGCAGUUUAUAGUUAAGAAAAAAUGAGUUACAAUAAAAUUAUUUAUACGGAUAUUUAAUUUAAAUAUUAAAUUAAAGGUGGAUUUGACAGUAAAAUAAAUAAUAGAGUUUAUUUGAUUUUAGUUCUAAAAUAUGCACAUAUCGCCCGUCGCUCUCGUUAUUUAAAAUGAG
rnacentral:rRNA from 1 species